GAUGAACGCUGGCGGCGUGCCUAAUACAUGCAAGUCGAGCGAACAGACGAGGAGCUUGCUCCUCUGACGUUAGCGGCGGACGGGUGAGUAACACGUGGAUAACCUACCUAUGAGACGGGGAUAACUUCGGGAAACCGGAGCUAAUACCGGAUAAUAUAUUGAACCGCAUGGUUCAAUAGUGAAAGACGGUUUUGCUGUCACUUAUAGAUGGAUCCGCGCCGCAUUAGCUAGUUGGUAAGGUAACGGCUUACCAAGGCAACGAUGCGUAGCCGACCUGGGAGGGUGAUCGGCCACACUGGAACUGAGACACGGUCCAGACUCCUACGGGAGGCAGCAGUAGGGAAUCUUCCGCAAUGGGCGAAAGCUUGACGGAGCAACGCCGCGUGAGUGAUGAAGGUCUUCGGAUCUUAAAACUCUGUUAUUAGGGAAGAACAAAUGUGUAAGUAACUAUGCACGUCUUGACGGUACCUAAUCAGAAAGCCACGGCUAACUACGUG
rnacentral:rRNA from 1 species